GUCCCUUCUAGGCCCAGCAGGACCUCAGCAGGCCUGGAGUAAGAGCAACAUAAUGGUGCACUGCGUGGGGAGUUUGGAGGAAUCAAAGAUCCUAGAAGGCUCAGUCAGGAACUCACAGACGGGGACCACCCUCCAUCCUGGUGCUCUGUGCCCUCGGGAAGCUGCCUGAGCUGUCUGUGCCUCAGUCAUAAACCAGGAAUGAGGCAGUAAUCACUCCCCCACCACCCCCAUCCUGGUCCUGGAUAUUGGAAUGCAGCUCUCCGUGGUCAAGAGCUGUGAACCUCAGCCUCAAAUUAAAUGCAAACAGACGCGUAUCUCUCAUCUGUGUGUUAGUCCAAGUGUCCAAGUCAUCCUGAAGAUCAGGAGAGCAG